AAUCUAACUAUUCACUUGAUGUGGAAUUUUGCAUGCAAUUUUUAAUUCUAGUCUUCUAAAUGCUCAAGAAUUUUUAGCCCAAUCCAACUUAUAGAUUAUGUGGAAACCUCCAAAAAAUGUACCAAUGUCACUCGGCUACCAACUUGAAAAGCAAAGUAGAAAUCCGAGCAAUGAUUUCUCCUUCUCCAACUAUUAACUUUGUCUCAAAUCUGGUAUGUAGCUUGAUCUUUAAGUCUUCUAAUACUAUUCUAAUUUUUAGCUUAAUCCAAUUGAUAGAUCUUCAGAUAUCAUAGAAACCCUACCCAUCUUCAAACUGCCACCUUCUAAAACCCUCUUGUGCUAAAAACUAGAUAUCUCUUAAUCACUUCGUUAUAUUAUCACAAAAUUUUGUAUUCACUUAGUAUACCU
rnacentral:lncRNA from 1 species